rnacentral:rRNA from 1 species
UACCAGCUCUCCGAGUGGUAGGGAUGAUUAUUGGGCUUAAAGCGUCCGUAGCCGGCUUAGCAAGUCUCCUGUUAAAUUCAGCGACCUAAUCGUUGAGCCGCGGGAGAUACUACUAGGCUAGGAGGCGGGAGAGGUCAACGGUACUUCCGGGGUAGGGGUGAAAUCCUAUAAUCCCGGGAGGACCACCAGUGGCGAAGGCUGUCGACUAGAACGCGCUCGACGGUGAGGGACGAAAGCUGGGGGAGCGAACCGGAUUAGAUACCCGGGUAGUCCCAGCUGUAAACUAUGCGGGCUAGGUGUUGGGGUGGCUACGGGCCACUUCAGUGCCGCAGGAAAGCCAUUAAGCCCGCCGCCUGGGGAGUACGGCCGCAAGGCUGAAACUUAAAGGAAUUGGCGGGGGAGCACCACAAGGCGUGAAGCUUGCGGUUC